GAAGAGAAAGCUUGAGAGGUCUCUUCUUCAGCUGGGAGCAAUCCCUGAAACUCACUGCCAGCUGAUAACCUUCCACGAGCAUCAGUUUUGGACGCCAGAUCCUUCAGUCCUAAAGAGCAAGCUGGAUGGUGCGUUUUGAUAUCCAGAAUAGAAGACUCUACAGAGAUUUGAAGUGUAUGAAGACAUUGUGAGAAGGUAGCCACUGGCAAGCCAGGAAAAGAGUUCUCAUCAGAACCCAACCAUGCUGACACCAAGAUCUCUGACUUCCAGCCUUCAGAACUGUGAGAAAAUAAUUUUUGUUGUUUAAACCACCUAGUAUAUGGUAUUUUGUUAUGACAACCUAAGCUCAUUAAAUAGGCACAUGUAAAUGCACAGACCAUGAUCUCUACAAGUCUUAAAAUUAAGUUGUAUAAGAAUUGUCAAAUUUGAGUUAAUAUCUACAACAGAAAAGAAUAUUUUAAAUGUGUUUAAUUUGAGCAGUUUUAUAUCAAAGAGUAGAGACUAAUCAGUCUUUUAUUAAUCUAGCAUUUACUAAUCUUCAAAUAUAUAUAUUUAAAUAACAUAUAAUUUAUUAAAACAUGGUUUUGAGCCUCUGGUAAAUCACCCAUGGUGGACUCACUCAGCUAUUAAGAAUUUCCAAUGUCCUUCUUCCUUCUCACAUUCAUAGAGAAGAGAGAAAAGCCAUAUACUUGCUUUCCUAGCCUCUCUUGAACCUAUGGGUUUCUGGGAAGCAAUUCUGUCUAAUUCAGUAUUACUGUUUUGGUUGUGGUGUAUGAUCGUUUUUAUGCGUUGUUGGAUUUGGUUUGCUAAAAUUUUGUUGAGAAUUUUUGCAUCACAAAUGAGUAUUUUGAGAAAUAUUUAUCAAAGAUAUUAGUCUGUGAUUUUCUUUUUUGGGUAGUAUCUUUGGUUUUGGUAUUAGGGUGAUGGUGGCAUUUUGGGGAAUUUCUGAAGUGUUUUGUAUUUUUUCUGAUAAAAAGAAAAGAUAAAGUUUGUCUCCAGAUGUCCUAGAUCAUUUGUUUUUGAAGCCAAAUAUAAUGUUUCCUGCCAGGGAGACUAUUUGCAAUAAUGAAGGGAAUAAAGUCACGGAUAGACUGGUCCUAAUAUUUGGGCCAACCAAAUGAACUUCAGUGUACAUUCAUUUCUAUGCAUCUUGUUAUACAGAAAAAUCAAAUAUUUAAGCCAUUGAAAGUUAAGUAUUCUGUUUAAUGCAGGAGUUCCCGUCGUGGCGCAGUGGUUAACGAAUCUGACUAGGAACCAUAAGGUUGCGGGUUCGAUCCCUGGCCUUGCUCAGUGGAUUAAGGAUUCAGCGUUGCCAUGAGCUGUGGUGUAGGUUGCAGACGCAGCUCGGAUCUCGCACUGCUGUGGCUCUGGCGUAGGCCGGUGGCUAUGGCUCCAAUUAGAUCCCUAGCCUGGGAAUCUUCAUAUGCCAUGGAAGAGGCCCUAGAAAAGACAAAUACAUAUAUAUUCUUAUUUAAUAAGCUCAGUGCAUGGUAAAAAAUUGUUUGACAUUAGCAUUACAGAAAUGGAAUAUGUUGAUUUUCGACAAUGAGCACUUUAGAGUCUCAUGAGGAUGAUAAACAAGUAAAGAAAUGCUUGGAGAGUGUUGCUUCCCAAAGAUGAAGGCACAUCGCUAAGGCAUUUAGACCGUUUCUCAGCAGGAGCAAAGGAGAGUAGGCUUCCAGGGUAUGGAAGCUUGGAAGCAGAAUAUUAUUAGCCAGAUAAAGAGAUGAAAGGGCAUUCUAGCCUCAGGGAAGAGUUGUCCCUCUACGUCAUCUUGAUUCUGCUUUGCAAAUGUAUGUUUUAAGUGAUCCACUUCUCUCCAUCCCUGCCUAUCAACCCUAGUUCAGAUCACAACCUUGCCACUUGAUUAUCCUCUGGUUUUUUUUUUUUUGCACUUCAGGAUUCAAGCCCACCCCAAAUCUGUUUUUACUAGCUGAUAUAGAGAUGUUUUUAAGAGGAAAGAGAUCAUGUUCCACUACUUUAAAUCUCACAAUAGACAUUCACUUAAAAUAAAAUAUUUGUAAGUUACUCUAUACAGUAAGUGUCUAGAAAGUAUGAAGGUGAAUUAGAAUAAUAAAGCAAAUUGGGCAACCAAGUAACAUCAAACCCUGAGAAUUAAACCUGGAUUAUCUGAAGUGACAAAUACAUCAACUUAAAUACACAAACAAAACAUAUCUUUUAAUGUUUUUUGCACAGUUCACAUCUUGAUUGUAAGACCAUUUUUUUUUUUUUUUGAAAUGUUUCCAAAAAAAAGAGAAGGUAGGAAAAGAAAGAAAACAUUGCUGGACCAGUUGCCCUGAAUGGCAUUAAGCUCUCAGUGUGUGUGGUGUGUGAAAAUGAAUCUGACAUAGUUUAUUACAGAAUCAGUGAAAUAGCUUCAUGCAGGUUAGCAGAAAACCCUGGCUUGUGUGCUGAUAUUGCUGAAAGCAUUUAUAUGAAGGAAAAUCCAAGUACUCCCUGAUAUAAGACACACCAUGAUCUAUUGUUGGAACAGAGUCUGAGCUGUAAGCAAUUGGAAACAUAGAUGACAAAAUCUUUUACCCAUGACAUUGUGCAGAUGCAUUGUUUUUGCAAAACCUUUUUCACCUUUGCCUCUAGAAAGGUAAUGAGAUUUUCACCCAGUGCAAAAUGAGUAAAACAAUACUUCACAGAGGUACGUGUACAGUAUUUAGAUGGGUCAGAUAUGUUGGUUCAGGAUAAGGAUGGCUCACGUGAUACUUUAUUGUCUUAACUUGCAUUCAAGGAUCUGGGAUCAAGCAUCAAGUUACAAAGUUGGGUUCUUUGUUUUCUGACUAAUGGAACUGCAACAAAUGGGGCUGGGAGAUGGAAAAAGGGACUGAAGAACAAUGAUGAGAAAGUUGUAAGACCUUGAAGUUAUUAGCUGAUACCUUAGUAUGGGAGGUUGUGUAGUUACAGAGAAAGUUACCAGACUCCUUUGAUUAUAUGUUACCAAGAAGGUGCAGUAACACAGCAUGCUUUGGUGUAUAUUUCUUCAUAUCACUUAAAGAACAUUUUUGUGCUCAGUGCAAUGCUAUGUCUUGGGAUCUGCUUGGUGCAUAGGACUCAGUCCUUUCCUUAGAAGGUUCUUAGUCCACUUUGGGGAAGGAGACAUUUGAAGAAAGAAUAACAAAUACUCAGCAUUUGAUAGCUCAGGUUGUGCUGCAUUUUUUUGAAUAAUAGAUUACUUAUUAUUUUCCCUAUGGAAUUAAAGGAAGUGCCAUAGAAGUGCAUGUGGGACAAAUAUUGUGAUAAAAGUCUGAAAUAAUUUUAUCUUCAUGUGUAGCAAAUGAUAAGUUAAUAAGAGAAGGGUUAGGAAAAUAAUAUUGAUAUAUGUAGGCUUUUGGUGUUUUACCUUCAUAAUAAAAUUUUUAUUUAAAAAUAGUUUUAUUUGUUGAAUUGCCUCAUCUUCCAAAGGUUACAUGCCACAUGGUCAAGCAAGAUAUCACCUCAUUUUGCCUUCAUUUCUCAUUUGCAGUUAAUGUAUGAUUUAAAAAUUAUGCAUUCCUAGUCAGAUAUCUUUCAAUAGUUCAAUAGAAAAAAAAAAAACUUUAAGAAAUUAAUACACAAUUUGCUAUGUCUCCUUUGUAUUUUAGCUUAAAUAUUUAUAGGGUUAACAUAAGUAUAUAUUUAACAAUCUAGCACUCAAUGAAUUCAUAUUUACUAUUCUUGUUCUCAUAUUGCUUACUAGAUUGCUUGCACUUUGUUAUUGGCCUAUUUUUCCCAUUCCCUGCCAACCCCCUUAAACAAAGUAGUUAUUGGCUUGUAGUAUAUGUAUAUGAAUAAAUCAAGGCAGAAAAACUAAACCUAUACUUUGUAUAAAUGAAAUCAUUAAAGCAAGCCCUAUAUUACUUAUGAGUCUAGUCAGAUAUAAUUCAGUCACAGCACUGCCUGACACCUCUUUUUACUGCCACAGAGUAAGGUCUGUGACUGAUGAUGUAUAACUCAUAAGGAAAGGAGGCAGAAUUGAUGGGAAUGGAAAUUCAGAAUGGCCGAACUUUGAUUCAAGCUCCUAAAAUUAGGCAGCCAUGCUGAUCGGCUUUCAAUAUUUCUAGCAAAUUUCCAGACAGAGCCAAAUGUUGCUAAAUUCAUAAGAUCUAAAUUUAAUGAAACUACAGUCCUGCAAUCGCCAGUGAGUACUUGCUUCCCAGAGGACACAGAAAAUAAGCAAUCUUUCAAACCCAGUCUCUCAAUUAGGGAGAUGGGAGGAAAUCUGUUGUGUUGAGCAAUUCAAAAUGAAUAAAGAGAGUGUGUUUUAACGUGAAACAAAGUGGCUACAAGGCAUGGUCUCUUGUGUCAAAUUCAAUCUUUUAACUGCAAAUUUGAUUGGUAUGAUAUUUUGGAAUAGAGUUACACUGGGGAUGAUGAGGUCUUCAGAGUCAUUAUAGAACUGAGAGAAUUGAGACAAGUUUCUUCAUGUAAGACAUGAAAAUCGCAAAUUGUAUUUUUAGGUUGGUGAGGUUAAAAUGAGAAAAUAAAAUAUAUGAAAGAUCUGAAACAUAGUAGAGGGCUAAAUAAAAGGCAGUUUCCUCUCCUCUUUUCUGCUCAAGAUUCCUUUGUAGUCAUUGGGAACAGCUUAUUCUUAAGAACUCUGGAGCAAGUCACUAAUUUUUGCCUCUUCAGUUAAGUAGCUAUGUAAUUAUAGAAACUAAAUCCCCCGUAAGUAAUUGGGGUAGAACUGUAUUUGGUAAUGAGAGAAUUUCCAUCAUUCAAAGUAAUUUUGCAUUGAUGUUAACCAGAACAGAGUCUAUGCUUUAUACAAGAAAAGGUAAGCAGUAGUCUGUUUUUAACUCUCUAAAAAGAUAAAAAGAUAAAGUGAACAUUAUGGUCCAGAAAGUGAUUAGUGUUGACAUAAAAAAAUAAGAAAUUCUGUAAUUGGGGAAAAGAUGUUCUUUUAUUUUUUUUUUCUUUCUGUAUUUAUUUCACAGCUGCACCUGCUCCACAUAGAAUUUCCCAGGCUAGGGGGUCAUCCACAGCAAUAAUAAAAUGUUAUCUAAGCCACAGCUGUGACCAAUGCCACAGUUUAAGACAAUGCUAGAUUCUUAACCCACUGAGUGAGGCCAAGGAUGGAACCCACAUCCUCACAGAUACAGUGUUGGGUUCUUAACCCACUAAGCCAUAACGGAACUCCAAAGGUAGUACUCCAUAGGCAGAAGAAAGCCUCUAGUAGAGCUAGAUGAAGUUAGAGAAAUUAAGACCAGAAAGAACUUUCAUUAAGGAAUUGCAUCAAACAUGGUAAUUGACAGUGAAAUAUCUCCAAAUCACCUAAACACUCAAGGAGAUUAACAGAAUCAAAAAAGUUCCCAGAGUUUUGAUGACAGAGAAGCAGAAGGUUUAGUUCACUAUAAUUCAAAAGUCCUGUAUUAAAUAUUUAUCAAAUGGCAAAUACUACACUAGGCAUCAAAUAGUCAUAAGAUGUUUUCAGUCCCUGCCCCAUAGGAGCUAUUAUGGCAGUGGCGAAGAAACAAGUUGGCAGAUAUUUUCAAUUCCAUCUCAUUUUGACUUUGCCAAGUAAAGCUCCAGACUUUAAUCUCCAUGGAGCUAGAGAUUUUUGAUGUCUAAAUUUUCUGUAGACUGUUUGAUCUUAAUGGAGGAAUCUGUAUUACCUCAAUUUAUGUAUUAAAUACACAUUUAUUAAAUGAUUGAAUACUUAAGUGAAGAAGUAAAUGUUCUACUUAAAUGGAAAGAAUGUUGAUUUCCUAUGGAAAAGCUCUCCAAACUUCCCAUCAUCAACCCUGUUAAUAAAUAUAUGUGCACAAAUAUCUUGACCAGAGCUAUUUAAAUCUUGUAUAUAGGUACUUCUAUGCUGAUACAUGAAGAUGAUCAGAGAAUAAAUGAAAUGGAGAUAAAAUAAGAUUAAAAUAAAUAGGAAUAGAAGUUCUAAUGUUUUUUUCCCAUUUACUUAUAAAACCUUUGUGUGAUCUGCUGGGGUACAUGAAAUCAGUUUAUUUUAUUUUGGUGUUUUUAUUUGGAGGAACAAAUGCAAGAAUAAAAUGUUUUCUGACAUUUAUAUGACACAGUGUAAAUUUAGGAUGAGCCACCUUUUUUUUUAAUGUCUACAAUCCUAAAAGUUAGGAGUAGAGGGAGACAUGCUCUAUAAUUGGUAAAACUGAGUAAACAGUCUGGUACAUUUCACUUCGACAAAAUCAGUCAUGAAAAAAACAUAUGAAAUGACGGUUAUAAUGAUAUUGACUGGAUCCUUGAGUGAGUUAAUUCCCAACUGGUGCGUAAAGAAAACCCCUUUCUGAAGAUAACAGAAAGAAGUUUCCCAGUGAAAUAUGUUUCAUCGUUUAAUCUUUAAAUAUAUUUGAACAAUUGUCUCUUUUACGACAAGUUUCUCAGAGCCCAGUUAAGUAACCA
rnacentral:lncRNA from 1 species